ensembl:ncRNA lncRNA:CR43763 long non-coding RNA:CR43763
GUUGUAUAUUUGAAAGCAAGUUCCAUGGCUGCAUGUAAUUUGCUGUUUGAACAACUUGUCGCUGGUGACAUUUUGGCAGAGCCUCACUGGGAAUGAGACUGGCACUUGGAUGGGAGUCUGGGCCCGCCUAACCAACUUCCUGUACAUGGCUGAUGACUUGUUCGAGCACAAUCCCCCGGAUUCCUAUCCCUGGAUCCCUGGAUCCCAGUCGCUUGCCAUCUUUUGUCCUGCCAAACUCGUGUGCAGGCCACGUUGUCGGUGACAUACUCCGCCAAACGAGAACAGAUACAGCUCCAUCUGAAGGAACCUGCAAGUAGUAGCGCAACUGUUGAUGUUUGAGUUGCAGCCAGCAUCUACACAUGGAGUAAGAAUCACCCCGAAAUCCAGCAAAUCACAAUCAUGCACUGGAAAAACCUUAUAUGAUUUGU